rnacentral:snRNA from 1 species
AUACCUUUCUCGGCCUUUUGGCUAAGAUCAAGUGUAGUAUCUGUUCUUAUCAGUUUAAUAUCUGAUACGUGAGCCAUUGGCUCACACGAUAUUAACUCAAUUUUUUAAGGGGAAAGGCCCGUUAAGGCCAGCUUGCUGCCUAAGCCUUUGAGCAUUGUCUUGGUUUUGCACUAUAGCCCAGGCCUGGUGCACCCCAC